rnacentral:rRNA from 1 species
GAUGAACGCUGGCGGCGUGCUUAACACAUGCAAGUCGAACGAAGCGCUUUGAAGUUUUCGGACGGAAGAGUGACUGAGUGGCGGACGGGUGAGUAACGCGUGGGUAACCUGCCUCAUACAGGGGGAUAACAGUUAGAAAUGACUGCUAAUACCGCAUAAGCGCACAGUACCGCAUGGUACGGUGUGAAAAACUCCGGUGGUAUGAGAUGGACCCGCGUCUGAUUAGCUGGUUGGUGAGGUAACGGCCCACCAAGGCAACGAUCAGUAGCCGGCCUGAGAGGGUGAACGGCCACAUUGGAACUGAGACACGGUCCAAACUCCUACGGGAGGCAGCAGUGGGGAAUAUUGGCACGAAUGGGGGGAAACCCUGAUGCAGCGACGCCGCGUGAGUGAAG